rnacentral:rRNA from 1 species
UACGUAGGGUGCAAGCGUUAUCCGGAAUUAUUUGGGCGUAAAGAGCUCGUAGGCGGUUUUGUCGCGUCUGCUGUGAAAACUGGAGGCUCAACCUCCAGCCUGCAGUGGGUACGGGCAGACUAGAGUGCGGUAGGGGAGAUUUGGAAUUCCUGGUGUAGCGGUGGAAUGCGCAGAUAUCAGGAGGAACACCGAUGGCGAAGGCAGAUCUCUGGGCCGUAACUGACGCUGAGGAGCGAAAGCAUGGGGAGCGAACAGG